UGCUAAUUUGGUGACUGCCCUCCAGACUGACCCUCCUCUGUUUGUGCUCGUAUCUGGAUCUUCUCCCGCCUCUCCAUCCAUCCACUUCUACUGCUGGGCUUUGUUCUGUGCUGGUGACUGGGCUUAUUUCUAGAGGUCUCUUGAAAUGCUUGCUCUGGUGCAAGUCAGCCACCAAGUAAGAAAGCCAACGUUCCUGAAACAGCCAUGUUGUGAGGAAGCCCAAUCUAGGCACGUGGAGAGAGACAACCGUGCUACCCAGCCCCUAUCUGCUCCAGCCGUCCCAGCCUGGGCACCAAACAUGUGACUGAAGUCACCAUCUUGAGCAUGAGUUAAGGAAUCUAGGCAUACUUCGAACAGUUGUUUCUGUUUGUUGUUCUGGCUAGUCAAAGGUUGUGUCAUGGGCAAUUGUGGCCUUAAGGAGAGUCCUGAGUCUCCAGAAUGGCAAGUGUUUUCAGUUUAAGUGUUUUGAUAUGUUUCCUGCCCCUUCAAGAGUUUCUAUGCUGCGGGAUUGCUGGCUGACUUGGCAGCAGCUGUUCCCACACAUCCGUGGCUGGGUGUCAGGAAGAUUCAGAUGCUGAUGGACAUAAUGGACUGGAAAAUACCAGCCAGUUUUUUGCAACAUAAAUCCACGCUUUUCUUGGCUCUCCUGGGAUUCUUCUCUGCUUUACCAUCAGCCAUAUGGAAUUCUGCUGUUGUUCAAACCAGAAAGCUGAGAGAGGGUUUGAUUGCACACAGGAGAGAUCACGUUGCACUGAGAAGAUUUCUGAUACUAUCACUGAGGUCAUGGGGAAACUGUCCUGCAAAAUGCAGCUAAGCUAGGGCCAUUCCUGAAGGACAGCCUUUAGAAGCACUCCUUCAGCCCUAUCUGGCUUUAACCAUUGAGGCUACAGCUUGAGGAUUCACUGAAAUGGAAGUGUAGUUGCUCAGUCGUGUCUGACUCUUUUAGGACCCCAUGGACUGUAGCUCACCAGGCUCCUCUGUCCACAAGAUUUUUUCAGACAAGAAUACUGAAGUGGGUUGCCAUUCCCUUCUCCAGGGGAUCUUCCCAAUCCAGAGAUCAAACCCAGGUCUCCUGAAUUGCAGGCAGAUUUUUUUUUACUGUCUGAGCCACCAGAGAAGCCCAAGGAUUCACUAAGGCCACACAAUGAACAAAAAUACGUACUUCUAAUUCAGGAAUAACCACAGAGGGACCACUUGAAGUUUCUAGGCCCAUUGGUCUAACACAGACAACUUUGCAAAAUAACACAACAAUUCUGCUGUUGCUUGAGGAGGCUAGGCUGUUAGAUAUUGCAGGGGAGAGGGUGUUGGGAUCCCUGUUAGUAUCUGCAUCCUAAAGUAUUUCUUUAGUCACAGUCUUUUGUAACUUUUUGAGGCAGUAGAUGGGGUUAGCUAGUGUAGAAAGGAUUAGCUCAGGGUUACUUUUUGCCUUUCAGUGGUAAAGAAUCCACCUGCCAAUGCAGGAGAUGCUGGUUCAAUCCCUGGGUCGGGAAGAUCCCCUGGAGAAGGAAAUGGCAACCCACUCCAGUAUUCUUGCCUGGGGAAUCCCAUGGACAGAGGAGUCUGGCAGGCUAUAGUCCAUGGGAUCACAAAGGAGUUGGACACGACCUAGCGACUAAACAACACUUUUUGCCUCAGUGCAGGCUAUUGUUGAAAGACCAUCCACACCCAUUUAAUGCUGUGCCAGGGCAGCAGAGAACACACAAAAAAGCUCUUAUUAAACUUUGUUCCUAGCUCCCACCAGUGUUUACUGGGAAGAUUGUGGCAACAGAGACAAUCUCUAGCCAGCAGUUUCUUGGCUUGGGGAUUCAGAAAAAAUAAUUUGCUUGGAAAAUAAUGCAAUAAUGGAG
ensembl:lncRNA